rnacentral:rRNA from 1 species
CAGCCGCCGCGGUAAUACCGGCGGCCCGAGUGGCGGCCACUAUUAUUGGGCUUAAAGCGUCCGUAGCCGGGUUGGUUAGUCUCCCGGGAAAUCUGGCCGCUUAACGGUCAGAAUUCCGGGAGAUACUCCCAGCCUAGGGAGCGGGAGAGGCCGAGGGUAUUCCCGGAGUAGGGGUGAAAUCCUAUAAUCCCGGGAGGACCACCUGUGGCGAAGGCGCUCGGCUGGAACGCGUCCGACGGUGAGGGACGAAGGCCAGGGGAGCAAACCGGAUUAGAUACCCGGGUAGUCCUGGCUGUAAACGAUGCGGACUUUGUGUCGGACAAGCUAUGAGCUUGUCCGGUGCCGGAGGGAAACCGUUAAGUCCGCCGCCUGGGGAGUACGGCCGCAAGGCUGAAACUUAAAGGAAUUGGCGGG